CCCUUAGAUGUCCGGGGCCGCACGCGCGCUACACUGAAGGAAUCAGCGUGGCUUUCUCCCUGACCCGAAAGGGUUGGGAAACCCGUUGAAACUCCUUCGUGAUAGGGAUUGGGGCUUGAAAUUGUUCCCCAUGAACGAGGAAUUCCCAGUAAGCGCGAGUCAUAAGCUCGCGUUGAUUACGUCCCUGCCCUUUGUACACACCGCCCGUCGCUACUACCGAUUGAACGGUUUAGUGAGGGCCUCGGAUUGGUCUCGGCCCGCUCUUUACCGGGCGGCGCCGUUGGUCGAGAAGACGCUCGAACUUGAUCGUUUAGAGGAAGUAAAAGUCGUAACA
rnacentral:rRNA from 1 species